UACAGAGGGUGCGAGCGUUAAUCGGAAUUACUGGGCGUAAAGCGUGCGUAGACGGCUAUCUAAGUCGGGUGUGAAAGCCCCGGGCUCAACCUGGGAAUUGCAUUCGAGACUGAAUAGCUAGGGUGCGGUAGAGGGAAGCGGAAUUUCCGGUGUAGCGGUGAAAUGCGUAGAUAUCUGGAGGAACACCGGUGGCGAAGGCGGCAUCCUGGACCGGCAUUGACGCUGAGGAGCGAAAGCCAGGGGAGCAAACGGG
rnacentral:rRNA from 1 species